rnacentral:rRNA from 1 species
GACAGAGGGUGCAAACGUUGCUCGGAAUUACUGGGCGUAAAGCGCGUGUAGGUGGAUUGGUGUGUCAGAUGUGAAAGCCCUGGGCUCAACCCAGGAACAGCACCUGAAACUACCAGUCUUGAGUGGUGGAGAGGGAAGUGGAAUUCCUGGUGUAGAGGUGAAAUUCGUAGAUAUCAGGAGGAACACCAGUGGCGAAGGCGGCUUCCUGGACACUAACUGACGCUGAGACGCGAAAGCGUGGGGAGCGAACAGG